rnacentral:lncRNA from 1 species
GAGAAUAUAGCGAGUACGAGUCGGGGUAUGGAAUGAAGGUUCUAGAGAGAGUUAUUUAGUAGUCCUCACCAUUUUUGUAAAAUAAUGUAUCAAUAAAUGUGAUGAGGAUUUAUUUGAGUAUAGAUAUUGUCUAGAAGAUAAUAUUUGUAUUCAAACUCACAGUUUUACUGUUGUAAUAAUAAAGUUGUAGUUGUUUCUGUACUAUGUAUUGACAACUCAGGAUGGGUGAUGUAUACC